UAUUGCAGCCCACAGACUGAGUAGUCCCCAAGAUGUCUUUAAUGGUUCCAGAGAGCUCUCUAGCUACAGAACGGUGCUGCAUCUGUCGGCCAAUGGUGACAAUCUCAUCAAAAGUGAUAUUUUCACCAUGUUUAAUGUUUUUUUUUCUGUCUCUUGGUGGUUCCUCAAUAAUCAAGACAGGCAGAACGCUAAAUUGAUAUGACAAGAAAAGAGAAAUUAAACAUCAUGAAUAGAAUGGAAAAAGCAUAUGUGUACGUAGCUGCUCAUGAAGGAGGGAGAUAAGAUUCUAUAAAGCCAGGGUAAGCCAGCUGCCACAUUAUAAGCCACAUCAAACAAAUCCAUAGAGAGUCUCAUGUGGAGAAGAAUCAAGGCCUCCCACCAGUAGCCAAGCCCAAACUGCCAGUCCUGUGGACCAACUUGAAAGCACAUUCUCCAGCCCCAGUCAAGCCUUCAUAUGACUACAGAGCCAACUGAUAACUACAACCUCACAAGAUACCCUGAGCCAGAACUACCCAGUGAAGCCAAUCCUGAAUCCCUGACUCACAAGAAGUAUAUGAGUUAUUGUUAUUUUAAGCCAUUAAGUUUUGGGUAAUUUGUUCCAUAGCAAUAAAGCACUAAUAUACAUACUCCUAUUUCUUUACAAGGUUCCAGGCACUCAGUAGACUUGAAUUAAGGCAGCAGUUAGAAUGAUUUUCCGCUGAA